GGCGGAGGUGCAGCCCGCAGCCCUGAGCGGUACACGUUGCAUAACCGGCCUAAAGCCCCGAGCGACUCCAGGACCGCCAGCGGGCGGGGGAGGAAAUUACAAAAGCCCUGGCGUAAAAUUUAAAAAAAUGUGAACCUCAAAAGAAAAAAGGGCCUGCACGCAGAGCUCGGCGGAUUCCCGUGCGCUCCGGGCACGGAUCUUGGAAAGCUGCAAAAGUCACCAGAAAGAAACAGGCAAGCAAACAAAAGUCGUCCCCAAAAAAGAGAAGGGUUCCCUCUGGGCUCGUUCGGAGUCCCACAGGGCAACGAAGCGCGGGCAGCGGCUGCGGAGCCGGGCGGAGGCAUAGAAAUGAAUCUCUUC
rnacentral:lncRNA from 1 species